UACGUAGGGUGCGAGCGUUAAUCGGAAUUACUGGGCGUAAAGCGUGCGCAGGCGGUUUUGCAAGCCGGAUGUGAAAUCCCCGGGCUCAACCUGGGACUGGCAUUUGGGACUGCAAGGCUCGAGUGCGGCAGAGGAGACUGGAAUUCCUGGUGUAGCAGUGAAAUGCGUAGAUAUCAGGAGGAAUACCGAUGGCGAAGGCAGGUCUCUGGGCUGACACUGACGCUCAUGCACGAAAGCGUGGGGAGCAAACAGG
rnacentral:rRNA from 1 species